rnacentral:rRNA from 1 species
AUUGAACGCUGGCGGCAGGCCUAACACAUGCAAGUCGGGCGAGCGGCGGACGGGUGAGUAAUGGAUGGGGACUGCCUGAUGGAGGGGGAUAACUACUGGAAACGGUGGCUAAUACCGCAUACUAACGGAUAACCCAUAGGGGAUUAGCUAGUAGGUGGGGUAAAGGCUCACCUAGGCGACGAUCUCUAGCUGGUCUGAGAGGAUGUUCAGGCACACUGGGACGGAGAAACGGCCCAGAGUCGUACGGAGGCAGAAGUGGGGAAUAGUACACAAUGGGCGCAAGCCUGAUGCAGCCAUGCCGCGUGUAUGAAGAAGGCCUUAGGGUUGUAAAGUACUUUCAGCGGGGAGGCGUUACCCGCAGAAGAAGCACCGGCUAACUCCGUGCCAGCCGCCGCGGUAAUUC